rnacentral:lncRNA from 1 species
UUAAAACCUUCUAAGUCAUGUCAAGUAUGAUUGGAUAAACUGUCUUUAUGAAAAUAUGAAAUGUUUAUGAAAAUGCAUGCCCACUGAGUACAUUAGUACUUAGCCCAAAAAUACUUUCAAAUGUUUUCAGGUUGGCUGGCCGGUGCUGACGGGACUGAGCUGAGGCUAGGGUUCAAUUUCUAUGUAGACUUCCGCUGUAGUAAUAACUCUUAUACAUCUUUGUUUUCUCAACUUAAGAUGACUUCAUGUUAAAUUUCAAAUGAUAUACCUGACCGAGCUUAGAUUCUUCACUAUUAAAUUUAUGCUAAUGAAUGUCGGUUGUCAGAAGUAUGAACAAAACUUGUGAUCCAAAGGGGCCUAGCCCGGCUUGUUAUCUUAUUAUUCGGGUUUUAACAAGGUUGUUCCUUGUUUAUUUCUAUGAAUUAGUUGCACCUCGAUUAUAUUUAUUCAUUCAAGAAUUGGGGUGUGACAUUGAUAAAAGGGUAAAUUGUAAAAUAAGGCACGGACUUUGGCCUAUUUUUUAAUUUUAAUACCAAUUUUAAAUUUUCACAAAUAAAUACAUUUUUUUUUUAGUNAUUCUAUUAAAUGCAAACUGUUUAUCCAUUAAAAUAUUUUGUGCACUCUGCUCCGUUUAAGGCUCGCAACAAUGAAUCGAUCGAGGUUCUCUCUUGACCUAACACGUUAUUUGAGAAUUGUGUACACCUAUUAGCUGACCUGGUGGGUUGAUCUCCAUCGGGCACUAAUCAUGUAUGAGGCGUUAUAAGGGUGCUCGACGGGAUGUGUUCCGGAGCAUUGGGUCCCAAAUGGGAGCUUGGCUGGGUUACGCCCUCAGUCCAAGUAAAGCAGGAGUAAUGGAUCCGUCGGUGGCUAAAAGGUCCGGGAUCACAGCGAGUAACGGAAAGGGAGUGUGACAUGUGCGCACAAAUGAAAAUUAUUUUAACAUGCUUAGAAGUUCUUUCAAUUUAAAACCUUCUAAGUUAUGUCAAGUACGAUUGGAUAAACUGUCUUUACAAAAAUAUGAAAUAUUUAUGAAAAUGCAUGCCCACUAAGUACAUUAGUACUUAGCCCAAAAAUACUUUCAAAUGUUUUCAGGUUGGCUGGCCGGUGCUGACGGGACGGAGCUGAGGCUAGAGAUAAAUUCCUAUGUUAGACUUCCGCUGUAGCAAUUACUCUUAUACAUCUUUUGUUUUCUCAACUUAAGAUGACUUCAUUUGAGCUUCAAUUUAAAAUUUAUAGUUUUAUGUUAAUGAACGUCGGUUGUCAGAAGCAUGAAACAAAACUUGUGAUCCAAAGGGGCCUAGCCUGACUUUCUAUCCUAUUUCGGGUUUUAACAAGGUAUUUCCCUUGUUUAUUUCUAUGAAUUAUUCACACCUCGAU